rnacentral:lncRNA from 1 species
GCUUGGAGUGCGGCAUCCAGCGCUGGAUAUGAAACCUCACUAGCUCUGGGAGGAGCAGGAUAGCUUCAGUGACGGGAGCUGGUCUUCUUCGAUUACAGAGUUGCCAAAACCUCAAUAAUAGAGGUGGAAUGGAAAUGUCUCCAGCUCAGAUCAUGUACUUUCAUAGACGUAUGAUGUGUUUUUAACUCAGGAAGUGAUCGGUUUCAGGCUUCUGGAGGAGAGAGCUUUUGCUCUAAUUUGAGGCUAUGUUCUGAGAAGGUUUCAAGAGUCUGUUCCAAGUGUUUCACGCAAAUCCUCUUACUUCCCUGGUCAGCCGAGAUUCCCAGCUGACUCUCAGGUUUGCUGUGUUGUGAAGUCACYGAUGGCACAUGGAUGUGAGGUGAGCAAAGGAAACGGG